rnacentral:lncRNA from 1 species
AUACCAUAUCCGGAACUGAAACCACCAAUUCAUUUCACUUAAGAUCUCACACUACACUCAGAUCAUCAAUAACAUUCCAGAGAUAAGAUACCCAGGCUUCAUCAACCGAGUCAUUCCGUCUGUCGCUCUCGUUUCUCUUGAUGCUAAUGUUGCUGGCAUGUUUUUCUUUUGUUUAGUCCUGAUGACACAGAAUUUGGAGGCCUUUGUUUUCUUCACAGGUGUUUAUGAGAAGUAGAAACCAAAUAUCUCAAACUGUUGAGGGCCUGGCUCUGCCCAUAGCUUCCUGCUUUCCCUUGCAGUCAGCUUGGCUCUGUGUGAGUAUGAAGGUCCUAGACUCCACGUCUCAUUGCAGCGAGCAACAGGCUUUGCUGAGAGCUUCCCCACAGAGGUGACAGGUCACCUCACUAACCAGGAAAGUAGUGCAAAGAUAGAGGGUAUGGAGAGAUUCCUGAAAACCACCCUCAAGAAGCAGGAAAGCGAUGAAAAAUGUACCCAUCCUCCUGAUGCCAACUGAUUCAUCGACCUGUGGGGUGGGGGGGAAGGCUCACCACAUUUUAUAUAGUACCUUACAAUUUAUAAACCACUUUCACAUCCUUUCUCUCUCUUGAUUCUCACCAGAACUUGUGAAAUGAGCCAGACAAGCAUUACCCACCCCCCAGUUUAGAGAGGAGAGAGUACCUAGCGCUAAUAAGUGGAAUGAUGGGCUCAAGCAGUGAAAGUGGAAAAGUCAGAGACUUCAGGUGAGAAGCCAGAUCUUUUAAUCCCAAGUCUACUACUCUGGUAACUCCCAUCUAACCUUAUAUAUAACAUAAUAUUACAUCAUAAGCCAUGACCUAAUGUUGCACAGUCAUUUGUCGAUAUUUUUAAAUUUUAGGUUCUUACAGGUCAAGGUUAAUGGCUGUAGGACAGCAUUUUUGUACAACCCUUCUAGGCCUCUGCUUUCCUUAUUUAAAAAGUCAAGGAAGGCAUUCAAUCCUGUGUUGCUUUCAGUUCGAACAUUCUGUGGGUCCCUUACAAAGUAAAAAUGGUUGCCAAAAAAUGUAAUUGUAAUGUAUACAUGUAAGGAUAACUUGAUCCCCUUGCUGUACAGUGGGGGGAAAAAAUGGUUGCCAUGGUCAAAUAGUUAGAAAAAGGCAGGAUUAUUCAAAAUGAAACAGGUAGCUUUGCUCCAGCCCUUCUCAGAGCCUUUACAUUCAAAUCUACCUGGGCAGGAGGCUUUGGAUGUGCAACAUUCCCCUAAGUUGGCCCUAGAAAGUGCAUCUCAUUGAAUUAGUGAUCUAUGUAGCCCACUCUGAUAAACAGCAGGACAUUCUCUGAUGAUCCCAUUGGCCUUUUAAAGCAGCAUCACAGAUUUCAAGAGAAAUUUUACAACCCCUCCCAGAGCUACUCCCCCCACUGCACCCCACACCAGCCCUGUACUUCCUAGACCAUGGAGGGUGGUCCUCCAGGUCUGGUACUGCCUAGCAUGGGGAAACCCAGCUGCACGAUCUGGGUCACAUCACUUCAGCCACAGAAGACUUUGUGCUAAAAAAACUCCACAGUCCAUCUGCAAGCAAGGACUUCCACAUGUUGCCUGAAUAUAGCACUAGAGGCAUCUCCUUUUAUUGCCUUGGAAAGUUCCUGCCCUUUCAUUUCCCUGAGGGCAAGACUGCAUCAUUCUCUUAUUAUGGGAGAAGAAAGGUAGGGCUGCUAAGGAUUUUCCAUUCUGCCUAUUGCCAUUCUGACUCCUGUGGCUCUUCCAGUAUCCUUUCUCUUUGGGAAAAGGAAUUCUAGACUCUCAGAGAGGCUCUUAGGGUAUGGCAGAGCACAGAGGGGCUUUAUCCGGUCUGCAACCCCUUUCUGUUUGCCUCUUCCCUUCAGUAUCCCUUCCACAGGCUGUGUAGACAGCUUCUGGGAUAAUGUGCUCUCUUCUCAGAGGCAGCCUUGUCCCAUGUUUUAACAGUUUAGAUUGUUCGAAAGUUCUACACCACACUCUGUCUCAUGGGAACAUCCUCCCAUGGUUGGCUCCAGACAAGUCUGACCCUGCUUCCACAAGAAUGCAAUGUGUGGCUGCCAAUCUCACAGGUGACUCUACUUGUCUCAAAUCCGUAUCUUCAAAGUCCCAUGAGCAGCAUGUCUUUCCAGUCUCCAGCCCAACCUGUCUUGUGAACUAAAUUUCUACCACUCCUCCCCAUCAUCUCUGCGCUGGAGGAAGUCUCUGUGGUACCAAAGCUAUUGUUUACCUGUUUGGCUGGGAAUCCUCCACUCUGAGGGUAGACUUCCUUCUCUGUGUUUAGGUCAGCAGAUGCCAUCUUCAAGUUUAGUGUUAUGUUUCUGCUUUUGACCUCAGCCUCCCCUUAUGCUUGGUUCAAGAUGGCUAGCUAUACGAGAGACUGAGACAAAUUAUCUUUAGUUCUAGAAUGACGUGACUCUCCCUAGUGCCGAACUACAUGGAGGAAACUUCAGGCUGAAAGAAGGCACACAGGCAAAUACAUUUCAAAUGGCCUUGGAACUUCUGUUUUAUUUGCAAGAAGAAUACAAUUCUUAUUUUUUCCUUGAUUUGGGUAUAUGUUCUACAGUCUUUAUCAAACACCUAGGUUGUGUUUUAAGAUUUUGUAUGAAGAUUUUACAUUCAUUAUCUUAUUUAUGCCCAUAACAACCAUUUCAAGCCAGAUAUUAUUGUAUCAUAUCACUACAUUUUAUAAGAGCACUGUGGUUAUAGGCUAGUGUUUUAAUCUUUUGUUCUAUUAUUAGAAGCCAGGACUGCGAUUCAGAAAACCUAGAUUCUAACCCCUCCGUGACCUUCAGCAAGUCACUUUCUCUCUUUGGCCCUCAGUCUUUCCAUCUGUAAAACAGAAGAGGUGUGGGGUGAACAAAUGAGCUGCAACAACCCUAAUCCUGGGGUACCAAGAAAUCUUGGUCGGCCUCUCACAAUCACUUGUCCAUUUUCAGUGUGACCAGAGAGAAGAAAAAAAAAAAAAGAAAAACCCACAGCUGGAUCCAGGAGCACAAACCUCUCUCCACUAUUUGCCACAGAGAUGGUAAGUGAGAAAUAUUAUCUCAACUGAAAGGACAACAUGUCCAUAAUCAUUCAAUACAACUGGCACAGUGACAAUUAUUUUUUUAAUGUAGAAAUUCUGCUUGGUUCAAGUAAAGAAAUGUUUGAGAGAAAGUUCAAGUUUUGAAACUGCUAAUGCCUUCCUGCGAUGGUGUGUGGGACUCGGUGGGGGUGGGGAACAGUAAGCCAGACAGUUCAUCUUAGGGGUAACCUCUUUGGUUUAUGUAAAAUAAAUGACUCAUAUCAAAUUCAUUUUUGUAGGCUGCCAUGCCUGAAGGAGGACCAAGCCAUGCUCAAAAGAGAUUGAGUCCUUCUUACAAUUAAUCAGCUACACCCCUGUGUUGUAUGUCUUGAUGUCUAAUUUCCAGAGGAAAGAUUGUUGUCAAACCAAAUAAAUGACGAUGCUUUUGGAAAAGAAAAAAAAAAAAAAAAAAAGCAAUCAAAAGGAAAACCCACCUCUCCUCAAUGUAAAGAUGUCGAUAUGAACUCACCUAUUGUUUGUAUUUCACACCCACAGUCUUGAUGCCUAUUAUCUCUGAAAUUAUAUCAGUUUCCAAAAAUCACUUGAAACACUCCUACACCUGGAGCUUUUGAUAAACAGUCCAGCUCCUACAGAGAGAAGCACUUUUUGUGUGUGCAUGCAUGUGUGCGUGUGUGUGUGUGUGUGUGUGUGUGUGUGUGUGUGUGUUAGAGGUUGAAAGACAGAGAAAGACAAGUUGGGGGAGAUGGAGAAAGUGACAGUACAGUUGUGAGUUGCACCCUAGACACCUGCGAAGACCAGAGGGGCUUUACUGUAACCUAGAAGAAAGUCAAUGGGUACGGGGCUUCCCUCCAUGGAUCUCGCUCUUGAGACUGUAAGAAACUUUGAGGGUAAUUUUACUCUGAUGCUAAGAAUAAAAAUAAUGAUUAAUGUUUUUGAGCACUUACAAUGUUCCAGGAACUUUUCUAAGAGCUUUAAUACAUAUGAAAUCACAUAUUACUCACAAGUCUAUGAGGCUGAUACUAUUAUUAUCACAUUCUAUAGAUGAAAGGAAAAAAAAAAAAGAAUCACAAAGAGGCAAGCUCCCCCAUCUCUGGCUUAUUGACACUGAAUUAAAAUCUUGCUGAUCCCCAUCAAGACUGAGGAUGCCACUCUCUCUGGGAAGCACCGUCAGGGAAACAGAAUGUUACCCUCCUCUGAAGCCCCAAGAUUUCUCCUGGUGUUGAAGCCACUGCCUUAAACUACAGUGAUCCCGGGAGUUUCGUCGUGGCUCAGCAGGUUACCAACCCCACUAGUAUCCAUGAGGAUGAAGGUGUGAUCUCUGGCCUCGCUCAAUGGGUUAAAGGAACCGGCAUUGCCGUGAGCUGUGAUGUAGGUCACAGACAAGUCUCGGAUCCCGAGUUGCUGUGGUUGUGCUGUAGGCUGGCAGCUGUAGCUCCAAUUCGACCCCUAGUCUGGGAACUUCAUAUGCCACAGGUACGGCCCUGAAAAGCAAAACAAACAAAAACCUAAUGAUCUGGGCACCUGCCAAAUCAUCUCUGGAAGAGUUUAAGUUUUUUAGGAUCAGGGUAGUAUUAAUAUUAUGGCUGUUUUCCCACAGCCAUAGCAAACUGCCUGGCACUACACAGGCACUUAAGAAAUACUAGCUGAAUAAGUAGAUGGAGAGACUCAAGUUUCAGACCCAAGUUCUCACAGUCAUGUUAGAAAAAUCAAUACACAGCCAGCUCUCCAGAGUCAAAGCUAUCUGUGACUUUUAAAAUAAAACACCUCAUUUAUUUUUAGCCCUGUAGGGUUUUCCUCUGAAUUCAUUUUCACUUCUUAGAUGCUUACAGUGGGUGCCCUGUCCAUUUGGCCUGGGAAGUAGGUUUCAAAAGAAAUACUGUAAUGCAAGAGAGAAAACUUAAAUCAUGUCAAGUUCUGAAGUUUGUUGUGCCCCCAUUGCUAAUCCUGAAGUUAAUUUCACCCAGGUUAAACUGACAUCGUUCUUAGCUUUCAAGGAGCUCCUCAUCAUUUUAGAAAUAGAGCAGAACUCCAUUGAGAACAGAGCCUCAUCCCCAAAGCAUAUCAGGAUGAUAGAGAAAACCUGAGAUGUAGCAAGAUGCCUCUGAUAAAAGCAUAAUCUUAUAAGAACCUCCUUAAAAUAGACAAUCCACCAAAACUCACCCAAUUUAACCCUCUCAUUUGGGGAUAAUGUGGCUCAGAGAGAAGAAAUGAGUUGCCAAAGGUGACAAAUCAGUUUUAAAAAAGAAGUGAGGAUAGACUUGGGGCAGGGAACUCCUAGGUGAGAGUCUUGCCUUUUAUAUUUUGCUAGCCUUCAUGACUGGGUUACAAGUCAGUGAUACCUAAAAUAAAGCCAAUUACAUUUGAGGCAAAAGUUUGACGUGGGUUUGAGAAAGUCCUUAGCUCAAGCAAGAGUUAAGGGCCGGGAUGACGGGGUGGAGGGUGAGGGAUCUCUAUUUUUGACCACAUGCUAAACAUUUGUACCUACUAAGCAUAGCAGGAUAAAUUAGUUGGUUGGCGUCAAAGGACCGUGAGUCACUGUUCUAACCAGCAAUAAAUCCAGUUGCUGGCACAGAAGGGAUCAAAUGCAAAAUGACAGCUGAGAUGGGAGCAUACUGGCCUCCCUCCAUCCAUGGUUCUUCUGUCCCUGUCCAUGCUGGUGGAAAAUGUUACAUUGCCUCACAGUGACGUUGAGGCUUUUAGAGUAGUUACGAUCUCAUAAUAUUGCUGGUGGCUAAAAAGCCAGCAGAAGUGAGUAUGUCUGUGCAGAUGACAAUGACAAGUGGGUGAAGUCCCAGCCUUGAUCCUGACUCAGUACCUGAUUUUGGAUGUGCCAUAUUCCUCUGUAGGCUGCGUUUCCCCCCAUCUGAAUAUUGAAGGUGUGGGCCAGAGAAUGUGAGGGUUCUGUCCACUUCCUGGAUUCAGUGAGUCUAGGAAUGCAUUGACUCCUCCUUUCCUUAGAGUGGUUCUGUGAGUCCUCAGGCGAGCAGCCGCUCAGAAACAUGUCAGUUCAGCUAAUAGCUUGACGUCAAGAAUUACUUUUACUCCAACCCUUGUGGCCAUUUGGGAGCUGGAGGCAUGCACUCAUCUUAAAGUCAGAAGAAUAGGCUCUGUUGCAGUCUCAGCUCCACACACAGGUGAUGUGAACAACCUCAGUUCCUUUUCUGAAGGUCCGAUUCUUCCUCUGAAAAGUCCGAGUAAUAACACCUAUUUCACUGAGAUGUCUUGUGGGUCGGAUGAGAUUUUUAAGAUGUCAAAGGGCUCGUAACCUGAAAAGCAUAAGGGGUUGUGUGGGGGAGGAUGAGGAUGAACAUGUAGAUGAGGGGUUAUGAACACUUUUUGAUUUUCCGUAGAGAUACAAAUGAGCUGUAGGUUCAGGGUCAACAAGUAAGGGCAGGGACCGAGACGUGCUAGCUGACUGCCGGCGCUGGGCUCACCCUGAGAACCGCAGCAGCAGCUCCCGCCUAGCCCUCUCCUUCCUUCUCACCACCACCUCGUCUCCCCAGUCCAACAGAAAGUGACACCCCUCUUACGUCUUGAGCCUCCCUCGCCCCCACCCUCCUCCCUGCAGACCCAGCGGGAGUGUCAAAUCUAAACCACUGUACAGAUAUUUCGCCCUCACUUCUUUAGUCUUCUAGACCAUCUAAAAGAAAACAGCAGAGGCGCUCCCUUCGCCUACGCAUUUCCCUUUGUUUUGAGGGCUGUGGCAGCCUGGCCCAGCGGCAGCUAGGGUUCCUGGCCAAAAAAGCAACUCCAUCUC